rnacentral:rRNA from 1 species
CUGCCCUACGGGACGCAGCAGUGGGGGAUAUUGCACAAUGGGGGGAACCCUGAUGCAGCGACGCCGCGUGGGUGAAGAAGCGCCCCGGCGCGUAAAUCCCUGUCAGCAGGGAAGAAGAAGGACGGUACCUGACCAAGCAGCCCCGGCUAACUACGUGCCAGCAGCCGCGGUAAUGCGUAGGGGGCAAGCGUUAUCCGGAUUUACUGGGUGUAAGGGGGCGCAGACGGCGAUGCAAGCCAGGAGUGAAAGCCCGGGGCACAACCCCGGGACUGCUCUUGGAACUGCGUGGCUGGAG